GCAGUGAUUGAUCAGUGUGAAUGUACUAACAAUUUAUUAUUAAUAAUAAGCAUGCUUUUAAGCUCUCUUACUGUUCUAAACCCAGACACAUCAGGGUCUUAUUAAGGCAGCAAAUGGUCAAACAUUUACUGAAACAGGGAGGGAUUGCCUGAACUUGUCCAAUAGAAAUUCCUUUAACGAGAAGGCAGGCUUCUGUCAAAUCUUUUGCCAAAUUGCCACAAAUUUGUGGGCAGCUCAUAUUUUAAAAUGAAAUUAGUUUUGUGUCAAACUCUUGCGACAAAUUUGCAGCGACUUGUGAACUUCUGGAAAACAAUAGUGGGAAUCUUGUUGCGAACAUUCUGUUUGCUGCAAAUUUGUUUCAAACUGAUUAUGAAAAUGCUAAUUAAAACAGGAUUUUGAAUACUUUGUGUAUUAACAACAUUGAAAUGUAUAUGCGAUUUGGUUUGUGUCAAUACAUUUAAAUUAACUUCCUUCUCACAGAGAACUAAACUACUACAGUGCCUUCAGAAAGUAUUCCCACCCCUUGACUUUUUACACAUUUUGUUGUUACAAAGUGGGAUUAAAAUCGAUUUUUUUAAAUCACCUUGGGCAGCGAUUACAGCUGUGAGUCUUUCUGGGUAAACUAGCCAGUCAGUGGUGCUGACAGAACUGAUCUAGCUAGCAACAAAAUGUGUUUCACACUAUCCCAUAAAACAUGACAUGCUUACCAAGCAUCAUUUAGCUUACACAAUUAGAACGUUUAUUACGAAGUUUAAGUUAAAACACUCGACAACUUCGGUAGCGGGUUAGCAUUUUCCAACUGACGGUUAGUAUUACCGUUUCAAAUUAAUUCAUUACCACGGUUUGAAAAACUCAUGGUAAAUACUGUCCAGCAUCAACCAAAGUUAGCAACAGUCUGACGUAGGCGCAGCAUGCUUUGUGUGAAAACAUGGCGCAAGGCAGUGACAGCGCUCGGGGGAUUUCAGCCUUCUAAGAGGACCAAAUCUGAAGUGUGGUCGUAUUUUGGGUUUUACAAGGGUGCUGAAGGAAAACCUAAUCAAAGAUGGUCACCCUGUCUGCAGAACAUACACACAAAAAAAUUGCUGCGAAAGGGGGCAACACUUCAAAUCUCUUGAGUCAUCUUCGUGAUCACUGCUACUUUAUAGCGAAUGCAAGAGUGGACGUGCAGCAGGCAAACCCAGUGAUGCUACUGGUCCCUCAUCUACAGUUGUGAACUUGUGACACAGACACUCGAGCAAGCUUUUAAAAGGCAGGCUGCUAAUGCACCCAUGUCAAAAAAUGCUCAGGACCUCACUGCAGCCCUUUCAUAUUACAUUGCAAAGGUCACGAUGCCAUUUCAAAUACUUGAGAGGCCUGGCUUUCUGAGGCUGAUUAAGGUUGCCGUGCCUCACUACAAAGUGCCAUCGCAAACAUUAUUUUCCAAGACUGAAAUCCCAAACCUGUACAACCAGGUUAAAGCUGAUGUUGGACAAAGUUUGGCUCAAGGCACAUGGUUUGCUGCAACUACUGAACUCUGGACCAGUGAAAGCGGGGGUGGUCAACCCUACAUCAGCUUCACUAUCCAUUACCUCACCCCAGACUGGCAACUGGAAUCAAACUGCCUGGAAACACAGUUCUUCUCAGAAGAUCACUCGGCGCACAACAGUUUUUGAGAAUAUGCUGGAAGAGUGGGGGGAUCAACAAGAAAGACCUGGUCUGCAUAACCACAGACAAUGCAACAAACAUGAUCAAGGCUUUUGAAGAGUUCCCAGAUCUGUGGCUUGGGUGCUUUGACCAUAAUUUAACCAGGCCACCUUAAAGGCUCUGAAAAUUCAGAGUUGACACGACAGCCAUGGCCUGCCGUCAUCUGGUCCAAGGCUUCUCACGGAGCUAGGAGAGAACUGAGAGAAAAGCAAGCUGCCCUCAACAUGCCACAGAAGGCUCUGAUCCAUGAUGUGAUGACCCGAUGGGGAUCUAUACACAAGAUGCUUGAGCGUUUCCUCAGCCAACUGCAGCCAGUCUGUGCGACACUGGCUGGAGAAAGAGGAACAUGGCAUCUGAUGUCGACAUAAGUGUCAUAGCGCAUCUGUGCCAGCUCCUUGAACGUCUGAGAACGUUUACAGAUGCACUUGCCUCAGACACGAGUGACACUGUCAGCCAUCAAUCCUGUCCUGGACCACGUCACCUGUGAUGUUCUGGUUGAAAAGGAUACGGAUCCAUCCCUGACCAAGGAUAUGAAAGGGGUAAUGAGAGAAGACCUUAACAACAGAUACACAGAGAAGGCAAAGAGUCAUGCACAUGGCUUGUUUCAUCGACCCCCGCUUCAAUAGGAGCUUUUUAGAUGACCCUGAGGCAGCAGAGAGGUGACGAGGGUCUGAUUCUGACCACCCCAGAAGACAGAGUGAAAGAAGAGAUCAAGGUCACCUGUCUCUGCCACCCAUUCCAGCAGAAGAGGAUCCACUGGUGUGGUGGAGGGGCCAUGCAUCAGAGCUGCCUCACCUUGCCAGGGUUGCCAGGAAGCUUUUGUGCAUCCCAGCGUGCCAUCGGUGUUCAGUGCCAGCGUGCACGUUGUCUCCCCUCGCAGAUCACUACUUAAAACAGACCAAGUAAAUAUGCUGACAUUUUUACAUUUCAAUCUCAAGUAAACAAAGCUGCAUCCGUACAGGAUGUUAGGCCAGCAGCACCUUAUGUCUUUAUGAAGGAGAGAACGGACAUACAAUCACUGCUGUUCAUUUGAUUUGUUUAUAUAUUUUGUGUUAUUUUAAUGUCAACACCUGCACAUUGGAUGUGUUUACAUAUGGUUGUAUUGUUCUUACAUGCACAUUGGAUGUGUUUACAUAUGGUUGUAUUGUUCUUAAAUGCACAUUGGAUGUGUUUACAUAUGGUUGUAUUGUUCUUACAUGCACAUUGGAUGUGUUUACAUAUGGUUGUAUUGUUCUUACAUGCACGUUGCUUUACUUGUGUUGCUUUUAUAUGCACAUUUGAUAUACUUAAGGUUGUGUUCAUUUAAAACCUGCAGGGAAACUUGUACCUCUCAUGGCCACAUGGUGCCAUAUUUAAUGCUAUUAUUUGAAUGUUUAUGCACACAAAGUGCAUAGUGCUGCUAAUUUUAUUUGUUUGUUAGUUUUCAAUAUAAAACUUGGUGAAAUUA